rnacentral:rRNA from 1 species
AUUGAACGCUGGCGGAAUGCUUUACACAUGCAAGUCGAACGGCAACACGGACUUCGGUCUGGUGGCGAGUGGCGAACGGGUGAGUAAUGUAUCGGAACGUGCCCAGUCGUGGGGGAUAACGUAGUGAAAAUUACGCUAAUACCGCAUACGAUCUAUGGAUGAAAGCGGGGGAUCGCAAGACCUCGCGCGAUUGGAGCGGCCGAUAUCAGAUUAGGUAGUUGGAGGGGUAAAGGCACACCAAGCCAACGAUCUGUAGCUGGUCUGAGAGGACGACCAGCCACACUGGAACUGAGACACGGUCCAGACUCCUACGGGAGGCAGCAGUGGGGAAUUUUGGACAAUGGGCGAAAGCCUGAUCCAGCCAUUCCGCGUGUAGGAUGAAGGCCCUCGGGUUGUAAACUGCUUUUGUACAGAACGAAAAGGUUUCUACUAAUACUAGGAGCUCAUGACGGUACUGUAAGAAUAAGCACCGGCUAACUACGUGCCAGCCGCCGCGGUAA